rnacentral:rRNA from 1 species
UACGUAGGAUGCGAGCGUUGUCCGGAAUUACUGGGCGUAAAGAGCUCGUAGGUGGUUUGUCGCGUUGUUCGUGAAAACUCACAGCUCAACUGUGGGCGUGCGGGCGAUACGGGCAGACUGGAGUACUGCAGGGGAGACUGGAAUUCCUGGUGUAGCGGUGGAAUGCGCAGAUAUCAGGAGGAACACCGGUGGCGAAGGCGGGUCUCUGGGCAGUAACUGACGCUGAGGAGCGAAAGCGUGGGGAGCGAACAGG